rnacentral:lncRNA from 1 species
CUGUAAAGCUUCAGGGAAGGGAAAACCAUCAAAAUGAAGAUAACAGAGGGACAUAUUUCUUAGCUUUUGAGGAUCAAAUACCAGGUUCUGGUCAUAAAUCAAAGAUUUCAAAGAUCAGAUGAAAAGCUAGAAAUGCUUUUCUCCAGACCAGACAAGAGUCUUCAAAUACGAGCAAGAAAUGAGUCAGAAAAACUAAGGACACUGACAUGGUGGUGGAGACCCUGGGAAGCGAUCUGGAAAACCUUUACUACAUGCUCUGCAGCCCGGCAUCCCCAGGUGGGACAGCCGUGGAACUCCCAGACAGGGUUGGAGGUGGGAAAUCAGGCCCAAAAGAGGAAGUGGGAAGAGCACCCAUGUGAAGCCACAAGAAGUGGGGAAGUAACCUACUUUGCAUCCACGGUCGGCUCUUGUUGAGCUCAAGAAACCGCAUAGGACCUACCAGCUGCCUAGGAAAACAGCAGAUCCCAGAUGUACCACUUACAGUUGUCUCUAUCUUCAGAUAAUUGACUCCAGAACUCUGUGUAAAUACAAAAUCCCGGGAUGCUCCGGUGCUGCAGGUAAAGUGGUGUAUUUGCACAUAGCAUAUCCAGUCUUCCUGUAUACUUUAACUCAUCCUUAAACUACUUCUAAUACCAUAUAAAUGUUGCAUAAGAGUUGCUACACUGUGAGGUCUAGGAAAUGACGGCAAGGAAAAGCCACCUGGACCUCUGAGUAUCGAUGCUACCUUCUUAGGCCAUAGUACACAAUCCUUGGUUAGUUGAAUGGAUAGAUUCAGAUCCCAUAGAUGCACAAGGCCUUUCUUGCAGGGUUCCCACUCCUGGAAUUCCAUUAGGAUUCAUUGCUAGAAGGCAUCAGCUGACACAGUUUACUUAGUUCUUCCCUGUCCUUGGAGAGGGUUACACUCGACCCAAAAAUACCUGCUUUGUUACCAUCUCUCACUGCUGAAUUGGAGCAGAGUGGGGGCUUCACUGCCAUGGAGUUGACUGGAUUAUUUCAUCUCUGUGGUCCCUGGCCUUGGAUUUGCCAUAACCAGGGUGUUUCUGGUCCUUUCAACUACUCUGCCAUAAAAAAGAUGAGAUGAACUUGAGAUAUUCAGAGGUAAAUGGAUGCACCUUGGGACCAUAAUAUUAAGUGAAAUAAAUCAGAUUCACAAGCUUAAACAUCACAUGGUUCCUCUUAUAUGAGACACCAAAAGUAUAAAUCCUGUAAAGAGCAAAACAAAGGGAAGAUAACAGAAAGUAGGGAGAGCUUUCUCAAAUGGGAAGGGGAACAAGAGAUAGAGGGAGGAGGAGAGAUAAAGGGGAUAGAAAAAAAGAAUUGAAGAAGUGGAAAUAGCACUUUGGCAAAUGGGAAGGGAAC